CAAACUUAUCGUUUGGUUGUCAUAGUUCAAUUGCGUCUUGACAAUUGUAGAGAAAGCAUCGUUAUUGUUCCUGCAACAGUGACAUAUUUCUUAUUAUGACAGUGUUCUGAGAGUUGGCAUUGAAGUCGGUGGAAAAAACAAAAGAGGCAUCAUCGCAGGAGACUGAAGUGACUGAAAAUGUCUCUGAGUCAGGAAAGAAUGUCGAAGUCCUAGCAAACCAACACGAGACACCACCAAGUUCUUCCCAGAACACCAAGAGUGUAGAGAUGCCGACAAUGCAGUGCAGAAAUUAAGGUGAAAGUUCAUUAUCAAGGCAUAGUUCUACAUCAAGCAGUACCUCUUUAUCAAGCAGCAGUUCCUCAUCAUCCUCGUCAUCAUCAUCAACUCAUGCAGCAUCACCAGAUGUGCUUAGACUCUGAUGAUUCAGUUGCAGAUAAGAACUAUGAACCAAAUUAUGACGAAGAUCCAGAAGGAGUUGAUAGUAAUGACGAUGACUCUUCUCUAAAUCAAACUUUUGACGCUUGUACA